CAUCACUGGGGUUUGGUUCUGGUAGGCUGUUCUGCACAGCGUGCUGGUGCUGGGGCUCCAGUCCCAAGGCCACUUUACCAUCUAAAGCUGGACCCUGGGCUAAGUUCAGGAGGAGUUCCCUGUGGUUAAAGAGGAGAACCGAGACCCUUCGGAGCAGAGAUUGGUGACGGCCGGACGUGCCUGUGCCACCCUGCAGGCUGGGAAGCGCCCGGUUCCCGCAGUUUCG
rnacentral:lncRNA from 12 species